rnacentral:rRNA from 1 species
AACGAACGCUGGCGGCAGGCUUAACACAUGCAAGUCGAACGCCCCGCAAGGGGAGUGGCAGACGGGUGAGUAACGCGUGGGAAUCUACCGUACCCUACGGAACAACAGUUGGAAACGACUGCUAAUACCGUAUACGCCCUACGGGGGAAAGAUUUAUCGGGGUAUGAUGAGCCCGCGUUGGAUUAGCUAGUUGGUGGGGUGAAGGCCUACCAAGGCGACGAUCCAUAGCUGGUCUGAGAGGAUGAUCAGCCACAUUGGGACUGAGACACGGCCCAAACUCCUACGGGAGGCAGCAGUGGGGAAUAUUGGACAAUGGGCGCAAGCCUGAUCCAGCCAUGCCGCGUGAGUGAUGAGGGUCUUAGGAUCGUAAAGCUCUUUCACCGAUGAAGAUAAUGACGGUAGUCGGAGAAGAAGCCCCGGCUAACUUCGUGCCAGCCGCCGCAGUAA